AGAGUUUGAUCCUGGCUCAGGAUGAACGCUGGCGGCGUGGAUAAGGCAUGCAAGUCAAACGGGCAGUAGCAAUACUGCUAGUGGCAGACGAGGUAGUAAUAAGUAGGUACGAACCCCAAAGUCAGGGAUACCUCAUCGAAAGAUGAGUUAAUACUUGAUAGUCUCUUCGGAGUAAAGAUUUAUCGCUUUGGGAUCGGCCUGCUCGGUAUCAGCUAGUUGGUGAGGUAAAAGCUCACCAAGGCUAUGACGCCUAGGGGACCUGAGAGGGUGACCCCCACCGAUGGAACUGAGACACGGUCCAUACACCUACGGGUGGCCGCAGUCGAGAAUCUUCCGCAAUGGACGAAAGUCUGACGGAGCGACGCCGCGUGAACGAUGAAGUACUUCGGUAUGUAAAGUUCUUUUGCCAGGGAGAAAGUUUAUUGAUAGUACUUGGCGAAUAAGAGGUUGCUAAACUCGUGCCAGCAGCAGCGGUAAUACGAGUGCCUCAAGCGUUAUCCGGAAUCAUUGGGCGUAAAGGUUGUGUAGGUGGUUGUAUUAGUCUUCUGUUAAAUUCUUCGGCUUAACCGGGGGCAUGCAGAGGAAACGGUACAACUAGAGGAUGCGAGGGGUUAGCGGAACUCAUAGUGUAGCGGUGAAAUGCGUUGAUAUUAUGGGGAACACCAAAAGCGAAGGCAGCUAACUGGAGCACUCCUGACACUGAAACAAGAAAGCGUGGGUCGCGAAUGGGAUUAGAUACCCCAGUAGUCCACGCCCUAAACGAUCUUCUCUAGUUUUUCGGAGUAUCGACCCUCUGAGAGACGUAGCUAACGCGUUAAGAGAAGCGCCUGGGUAGUACGACCGCAAGGUUAAAACUCAAAGGAAUUGACGG
rnacentral:rRNA from 1 species